CCGUACCCAAGACUUUGCCUGUGGGAAUGUGGUGUACCACAGGAGGUCAGAUGGCAUUCCAUGAUGGAAUUACAUCUCUUACCAAAUUCAGCAGGUCAAAAGUGCUUUUUACCAUCCACAGACAGUAUUUGGCAGACUAGGAACAAGAAAUUCCACUUACCGUAAGGUAAUAGCGGUUGUGCAUGAACAGCAAAUGCAUCCGGUGCUGGUUGCAAGGGCUGCCACUAUCUUCCUUUAGGAUAACAAGGAUGUCAGUUUCCAGCAAAAUAAUCCAGGAAGAACCGCAGGUCUUACUGUUAAGGAACGCAAUGAGGUGGUGACCAUUAGGCUCAAAGCUGUGGAGAAAGAUGUCUGGCCAGGAGACAUACGGUACUGAUGUUAUGCUUUACUGAUGUUGUUGCCAACACCUACAAAACAUUCACUACAACUACCACAACGAACAAUGUACUGAUAAUGCAGAAAAUCUGAGCUACCUUUGUGAAAGAGGCCAAGAGAGGAUUGGAUGGUAGAGUUUUAGAUGACACAAUGCUGACUGUUUCCACCCAGCUGAUUUUGCUUCCUAAUGGAAGCAGAAGGAAGUCUUCACUUUUAUUUUAAACA